rnacentral:rRNA from 1 species
AACGAACGCUGGCGGCAUGCCUAACACAUGCAAGUCGAACGGCACCUCCGUGUUUACUUGCGCUCGCGUGUGUAACGUGUGGUAACCUGCACUUAGGUACCGGAUAAUUCCCUUUAGGGGGUGCUAAUUCCGGUUAAUGUCCUCUGAUAAAGGAUCUAACGCCUUUGGCUGGGCCUGCGUUGGUUUAGCUAGUUGGUAGGGUAAAAGCCUACCACGGAGACGCUACUUAGCUGGUCUGAGACGAUGAUACGCCACACUGGAACUAAGACACAGCCCAGAAUCCUACGGGAGGCAGCAGUGGGGAAUAUUGGACAAUGGGCGAAAGCCUGAUCAAGCAAUGCCGCGUGAGUGAUGAAGGCGUUAGGGUUGUAAAGCUGUUUUACACGGGAUGAUAAUGACAGUACCGGGAGAAUAAGCUCCGGCUAACUCCGUG